rnacentral:rRNA from 1 species
AACGAACGCUGGCGGCGUGCCUAAUACAUGCAAGUCGAACGGGGUAGCAAUACCUAGUGGCGCACGGGUGAGUAACGCGUGGAUAAUCUGCCUUAGAGUGGGGGAUAACUAGUCGAAAGAUUAGCUAAUACCGCAUAAGACCACAAGAACUGCGGUUCAAGGGGUCAAAGGUUUUUCGCCCUAAGAUGAGUCCGCGUAAGAUUAGCUAGUUGGUGAGGUAAUGGCUCACCAAGGCGACGAUCUUUAACUGGUCUGAGAGGAUGAUCAGUCACACUGGAACUGAGACACGUUCCGGACUCCUACGGGAGGCAGCAGUAGGGAAUAUUGCACAAUGGAGGAAACUCUGAUGCAGCGACGCCGCGUGAGUGAUGAAGGCCUUCGGGUCGUAAAGCUCUGUCGCAGGGGAAUAACACAAUGAAUGUACCCUGUAAGAAAGGAUCGGCUAACUUCGUGCCAGCCGCCGCCGUAAGAC